rnacentral:tRNA from 3 species
GUAGGAAUGCCAGAGCUUAUGGGAUUGGUUUAGGACUAAUUUACGGUUGUUUAACCUUUCUAUU